UACGUAGGGUGCAAGCGUUGUCCGGAAUUAUUGGGCGUAAAGAGCGUGUAGGCGGCCCGACAAGUCCGCUGUGAAAGUCCAGGGCUCAACCCUGGAAUGCCGGUGGAUACUGUCGGGCUAGAGUCCGGAAUGGGCGAGUGGAAUUCCUGGUGUAGCGGUGAAAUGCGCAGAUAUCAGGAGGAACACCAAUGGCGAAGGCAGCUCGCUGGGACGUGACUGACGCUGAGACGCGAAAGCGUGGGGAGCAAACAGG
rnacentral:rRNA from 1 species